rnacentral:tRNA from 1 species
GUGGCUCAGUGGUAGAGCGCUUGCCUUGCAUGCCCAAGGCCCUGGGUUCGAUUCCCAGC